rnacentral:rRNA from 1 species
AGAGUUUGAUCCUGGCUCAGGAUCAACGCUGGCGGCGUGCCUAAUGCAUGCAAGUCGAGCGGGGUUUACCUUCGGGUGGACUUACGCGGCGGACGGGUGCGGAACACGUGGGCAACCUGCCCUGGGGUGGGGGAUAGCCGUGGGAAACCGCGGGUAAUUCCGCAUGGGCUCGCUCACCGGUGGGGUGAGUGAGGAAAGGCCUUUGGGUCGCCCUGGGAGGGGGCUGCGGCCGAUUAGCUAGUUGGGGGGGUAACGGCCUCCCAAGGCGAUGAUCGGUAGCUGGUCUGAGAGGACGGCCAGCCACACGGGGACUGAGAGACGGCCCCGACUCCUACGGGAGGCAGCAGCAAGGAAUCUUCCGCAAUGGGCGCAAGCCUGACGGAGCAACGCCGCGUGGGGGAUGACGCCCUUCGGGGUGUAAACCUCUUUUCGGUGGGACGAAGUACUGACGGUACCGCCGGAAGAAGGACCGGCUAACUACGUGCCAGCAGCCGCGGUAAUACGUAGGGUCCGAGCGUUGUCCGGAGUUACUGGGCGUAAAGCGCGCGCAGGCGGCGGUGUAAGCAUGGCGUGAAAGCCCCUGGCUUAACCAGGGAGGGUCGUCGUGGACUGCACCGCUUGAGGGCGGUAGGGGCUGGUGGAAUGCCUGGUGUAGUGGUGAAAUGCGUAGAGAUCAGGCGGAACACCCGUGGCGAAGGCGGCCAGCUGGGCCACAUCUGACGCUGAGGCGCGAAGGCGUGGGGAGCGAACGGGAUUAGAUACCCCGGUAGUCCACGCAGUAAACGAUGCCGACUGGGCGUGGGGGGAGUUGACCCCCUCCGUGCCGGAGCCAACGCGGGAAGUCUGCCGCCUGGGGAGUACGGCCGCAAGGCUAAAACUCAAAGGAAUUGACGGGGGCCCG